GGUUGUAGCUCAGUGGAGAGCACUUGCCUAGCAUGUGUGAGGCACUGGGUUCAAUUCUCAGCACCACCU
rnacentral:tRNA from 1 species